rnacentral:rRNA from 1 species
CUCAAUGAAAUUAAAUAGCCGCAAUACUUUGUGCUAAGGUAGCAUAAUCAUUUGUCUUUUAAUUAAAGACUAGAACGAAAGAUUUAAUAUUUUUAUUUCUUUCUAACAUAUAAAUAUUUAAUUUAUUUCAAAUAUAAAAAAAUAUUUAUUUCUAAAGAAGACGAUAAGACCCUAUUGAACUUAACUAAAGUUAAACUGGGGUAGUUAAUUAAAUAUAAUUUUAAUUUAAAUUUCAAAAAAAACCUAAUAUAAUUAAAAUUAUCAAGUUACCAUAGGGAUAACAGCGUAAUAAUUUUCCUAAGUUCUUAUUACAAAAAUUGUUUGCGACCUCGAUGUUGAAUUAAUAAUCUAUUAAAUGCAAUAACUUAAUAAGAAAGUCUGUUCGACUU